rnacentral:tRNA from 1 species
UUGCCGGGGGCGCUGGCAAGCCGCGCGCCGCCGGCGCGCACGGUGGCGGUCACGUAGGCCGCGCCUUCGAUCAGGUCGGAGCCGGCGAGC